rnacentral:rRNA from 1 species
UACAGAGGGUGCGAGCGUUGUUCGGAAUUAUUGGGCGUAAAGGCGCCGUAGGCGGUGCGGUAAGUCACCUGUGAAAUCUCCUGGCUCAACUGGGAGCUGCAGGCGAACUGCCGUGCUGGAGUCGUGGGAGAGGUGAGUGGAAUUCCCGGUCGUAGCCGGUGAAAUGCGUAGAUAUCGGGAGGAACACCUGUGGCGAAAGCGGCUCACUGGACCACAACUGACGCUGAGGCGCGAAGCUAGGGAGCAAACAGG